UGCGAUUCUCAGGUGACACACCCGGAACCAGAAAGGAGGGAACCUGAUUCUGGGGUGUGUCACCUGAGAACUGCC
rfam:Myotis lucifugus cont2.38203, whole genome shotgun sequence.